CCGCCGCCGCCACCGCCGCCGCCGCCGCCGCAGGCCCCAGACCGGAAGUGAAUGCUCCACUCGGCAACCCCUUCCGGGAGUGUCGCAGCCACCGGCCUCAAGAUGGAGGCCCUAGCAACUAGACCAGCAAACUGGGCAGACCCUUGGCAACCGCCCUGCCGCGGCGCGGCUCGGCCGCGGGCCGGACCUCCCUGGAGCUUGUCACAGCCUCGGAGCUGCCCCGCACAGCGGCUUGGGGGCCCACCGAAUCCUGAGCAUACCCUUUCUCGGUGCAGUCGGCUCUGAUUCUGACAUGAGUUCCCUCCCCUUCUCCUCCUUCUUUGCUGCGACACAAGUUUCCUUCCCUGCUGCCCGGCCCCUCCCCCACAGAAACACACCAAAAAAAAAAAAAAAAAAGAAUCGCCUAAACCGCAAAUUCUAUCCCUGCCGCAGCAUGAUGAGCCCGCGCGGCUUUUGAAAUCCGCCACUUGCGAUUACUUUUGACCUUGGGCCAAUUGUUUAACCUCUCUGCUUCUCUGUUUCCUCCUCAGGUAAAGAAUGCAUACCUGAGGAUGACUGUGACGUUUAAAAGCGACUUUUAUCCUUCGAGUUAGGCUGACCAUUUGACUCAGCAAUUCCUCUUCCAUGAAUUUCUGUUCAAAAAAUAAUCCUGGGUAGCUACAAAUAUGUCACCAUCGUGAUAUUAAGUCCUGCGUUGAUGGUAGUGAAAAAUUGUGACGGCGAAAAUGUCCAACAUUACGAGGUGGCUUUAAAGACUGAACUACUUCAUGUGUUAGGAUACUGUUAAAAAUGAUGCAAACUCAGAAGCUCUGGGAGUUGGUGAUGGACAGAGAAGUCUGGUGUGCUGCAGUCCACGGGGUUGCAAAGAGUCGGACGCAACUGAGUGACUGAACUGAACUGAAGUGUAGAAUUACAAACUACAACAAGUGCGCAGAAGGAAAUGUAUGUUGUGCUGAGAGAGAAACAAAGGAACGUUACAUAGAGUGUGUAGUCGAAGAAGGUUUCUUUGAAAAUGUCAGGCUUCACCUGAGAACGGAGAGAUAAGGGGCAGAGUGUGUUCCUGUUGCCGUGCUCAAUCACGGAUGACUCACUAACACAACUCACUGAAGUAAGCCAAUGCCAUUUCCUACAAGGUAGCGUGUUCUCUAGAUUAAGUGAAUAUUGUUACAUGCCUCAUGACUGACGUUUACAGUUUGACAAUUUGUAUAUAACAUUAAAUAUGCCUUUCCUACCAUAAUGUUUUUCUAUUUCUGGAAAAAUCGGUAACUACGUCAGGAAAUUCUUGCUUCUUCUUAGUGAGCAUAGUAAGAGACAGUGGCUGUUUGAAAUUAAAUGUAAAUGUCUUUUCUCCAUUUGUCUUUCUUCCUUGGGAUUUUUGUUCCUUUAGUUUCUGAGGUUACCAGAGCAUAAAUGUCCUUCAGCCCUCUUUUUCUUAUCUAAGAAGGGUAAUUGGCUAGCCUAAUCCUUGGAAUAUUAUGUACUUGAAAGUCUUUUGUUUUUCUCCCAAGUCUCUACCAGAUAUCAUCAUGAAAUGUAUAUGUACUUUUUAGAUGAAGCUCACUCAAAAGAUUUUUAAAUUUAGAAAAAUGUCCAUAAUAAUGUAUAAAUGGUUAUUGAAGACAUGAACAUAAAUGAGAUUUCCUGGAGAGAGUGUAUUUGUUUUAUUUAACCAAAAUAUAUUUGGUACUUAAUAUGUGGCAAUGGAUGGGCCAAUUAUGCAGCGUUU
ensembl:lncRNA